AACCAAAACCGCUUUGCUGAUCCGACCCGCGAACUUAACUGAUCCCUACCCCGAUCUCCGUCGGUCUUCCCCCAACGAGACGACGACUGGAUCUCCGUCGGUCUUCCCCCAAAGAGAACGAGACGACGACUGGCUCUCGUCGUCGCCCGACCGCGGUGCCGAACGACAAUGGUGUACAAAUUACAGUGAAGUCGGUAGACUUCGGGAGCUACUAGGCAACGGACUAUCCUAGAGUAGUGCUUCAUCUAGGUGUGAUCCAAGAGUGGGUGGAUGAAUGUCGAUUGCCAAAGGAGCGAACAAAAUCAAAGAUGGAAGAGACUCUGCGAUGUAUUGGCAGAGGCCACACAUGGAGGGUUCACAAUUCGAGUUCUAUCUCAUAAGGAUCAAAAUGCAAUAGAGAUGUCACGCGACAUAGUCCUGGGAGGGAUAAUGACAUAUUAAGAAAAAUACAUAUGUUUGAUUUCAUUUUAUUAUACUAUCAUUAAAUGUAAAUAUUUUUUAUUUUUAUAAUUAUGAAAGAUCAUCAUAAAUUACAAGACAUAUUGAUAUCAAA